rnacentral:rRNA from 1 species
AUUGAACGCUGGCGGCAGGCUUAACACAUGCAAGUCGAACGAGGGGCAGACGGGUGAGUAAUGCUUGGGAAUCUCGCUUAUAGCGGGGGAUAACUACGGGAAACUGUCGCUAAUACCGCGUACCAUAGGAUGAGCCAAAGUGGUAUUAGGUAGUUGGUGAGGUAAAGGCUCACCAAGCCGACGAUCUCUCGCUGGUCUGCGAGGAUGACCAGCCAAACUGGGACUGGGACACGGCCCAGACUCCGACGGGAGGCAGCAGUGGGGAAUAUUGCGCAAUGGGGGCAACCUGACGCAGCCAUGCCGCGUGAAUGAAGAAGGCCUUCGGGUUGUAAAGUUCUUUCGGUAGCGAGGCGUUAACUACAGAAGAAGCACCGGCUAACUCCGUGCCAGCCGCCGCGGUAAUAC